rnacentral:misc_RNA from 1 species
UGGUGCUGAUACAUACUUUCUCAACUACAGCAUUGAUUUUCAAAAAAAUCAGUAUUAGUGGCCUCCUCAUAGCAACUCUAUGGCAGCUUUUCUGAACGUCGCAGCAAAUUAAAAAUGGUGAGAAAAUCACUCUUCUGAUCCUUUGAGCUCAACCAUAAUAUUCAUGUAUCCUCUACAACAGUACUCAAACUUCAGAAAUCUUAAUUUUAUUUUCUUCAAUCACAGAGACAGG